rnacentral:rRNA from 1 species
GAUGAACGCUAGCGGCAGGCUUAAUACAUGCAAGUCGAGGGGCAGCAGGGGUAGCAAUACUCGCUGGCGACCGGCAAACGGGUGCGGAACACGUACAGAACCUUCCUUUAAGCGGGGGAUAGCCCAUAGAAAUGUGGAUUAAUACCCCAUGGUAUUAUUGAUUGGCAUCAGUUAAUAAUUAAAGAUUUAUCACUUAAAGAUGGCUGUGCGUCUGAUUAGGUAGUUGGUCGGGGUAACGGCCCACCAAGCCAACGAUCAGUAACUGGUGUGAGAGCACGACCAGUCACACGGGCACUGAGACACGGGCCCGACUCCUACGGGAGGCAGCAGUAAGGAAUAUUGGUCAAUGGACGGAAGUCUGAACCAGCCAUGCCGCGUGAAGGAUGACGGUCCUCUGGGUUGUAAACUUCUUUUAUGUGGGAAGAAAUGCCUGUUUUUUAAUGGGUUUGACGGUACCAUAGGAAUAAGCACCGGCUAACUCCGUGCCAGCAGCCGCGGUAAAAC